CGGAACGGGUGAGUAACGCGUGAGGAACCUGCUCAAGAGGGGGACGAACAGUUGGAAACGACUGCUAAUACCGCAUAAGCCCACAGGUCGGCAUCGACCAGAGGGAAAAGGAGCAAUCCGCUUUGAGAUGGCCUCGCGUCCGAUUAGCUAGUUGGUGAGGUAAUGGCCCACCAAGGCAACGAUCGGUAGCCGGACUGAGAGGUUGAACGGCCACAUUGGGACUGAGACACGGCCCAG
rnacentral:rRNA from 1 species